AUUGAACGCUGGCGGCAGGCCUAACACAUGCAAGUCGAGCGGUUGAGGAAAGCUUGCCUUUCGAUUCAGCGGCGGACGGGUGAGUAAUGCCUAGGAAUCUGCCUGUUAGUGGGGGAUAACUCGGGGAAACACGGGCUAAUACCGCAUACGUCCUACGGGAGAAAGUGGGGGAUCUUCGGACCUCACGCUAAAAGAUGAGCCUAGGUCGGAUUAGCUAGUAGGUGAGGUAAUGGCUCACCUAGGCGACGAUCCGUAACUGGUCUGAGAGGAUGAUCAGUCACACUGGAACUGAGACACGGUCCAGACUCCUACGGGAGGCAGCAGUGGGGAAUAUUGGACAAUGGGCGAAAGCCUGAUCCAGCCAUGCCGCGUGUGUGAAGAAGGUCUUCGGAUUGUAAAGCACUUUAAGUUGGGAGGAAGGGUAUUCACCUAAUACGUGGGUACUUUGACGUUACCAACAGAAUAAGCACCGGCUAACUCUGUGCCAGCAGCCGCCGUAAAAC
rnacentral:rRNA from 1 species